AACACAUGCAAGUCGAACGAUGAAGCCCAGCUUGCUGGGUGGAUUAGUGGCGAACGGGUGAGUAACACGUGAGUAACCUGCCCCCGACUCUGGGAUAAGCCCGGGAAACUGGGUCUAAUACCGGAUAUUACCUCUUGCCGCAUGGCAGGUGGUGGAAAGAUUUAUCGGUGGGGGAUGGACUCGCGGCCUAUCAGCUUGUUGGUGAGGUAAUGGCUCACCAAGGCGACGACGGGUAGCCGGCCUGAGAGGGUGACCGGCCACACUGGGACUGAGACACGGCCCAGACUCCUACGGGAGGCAGCAGUGGGGAAUAUUGCACAAUGGGCGAAAGCCUGAUGCAGCGACGCCGCGUGAGGGAUGACGGCCUUCGGGUUGUAAACCUCUUUCAGUAGGGAAGAAGCGAAAGUGACGGUACCUGCAGAAGAAGCGCCGGCUAACUACGUGCCAGCAGCCGCGGUAAUACGUAGGGCGCAAGCGUUAUCCGGAUUUAUUGGGCGUAAAGAGCUCGUAGGCGGUUUGUCGCGUCUGCCGUGAAAGUCCGAGGCUCAACCUCGGAUCUGCGGUGGGUACGGGCAGACUAGAGUGAUGUAGGGGAGACUGGAAUUCCUGGUGUAGCGGUGAAAUGCGCAGAUAUCAGGAGGAACACCGAUGGCGAAGGCAGGUCUCUGGGCAUUUACUGACGCUGAGGAGCGAAAGCAUGGGGAGCGAACAGGAUUAGAUACCCUGGUAGUCCAUGCCGUAAACGUUGGGCACUAGGUGUGGGGGACAUUCCACGUUUUCCGCGCCGUAGCUAACGCAUUAAGUGCCCCGCCUGGGGAGUACGGCCGCAAGGCUAAAACUCAAAGGAAUUGACGGGGGCCCGCACAAGCGGCGGAGCAUGCGGAUUAAUUCGAUGCAACGCGAAGAACCUUACCAAGGCUUGACAUGUGCCAGACCGCUUCAGAGAUGGAGUUUCCCUUCGGGGCUGGUUCACAGGUGGUGCAUGGUUGUCGUCAGCUCGUGUCGUGAGAUGUUGGGUUAAGUCCCGCAACGAGCGCAACCCUCGUUCCAUGUUGCCAGCACGUAGUGGUGGGGACUCAUGGGAGACUGCCGGGGUCAACUCGGAGGAAGGUGGGGAUGACGUCAAAUCAUCAUGCCCCUUAUGUCUUGGGCUUCACGCAUGCUACAAUGGCCGGUACAAUGGGUUGCGA
rnacentral:rRNA from 1 species